ACAUUACAAAGGCAAACCCAUCAAAAGAUGGCGACGCAAAGCUAAAGGGGCUAAAGCAUUAUGCCAUGCCAGCCAGUUGCAAUG
rfam:Clostridium thermocellum ATCC 27405, complete genome.